rnacentral:rRNA from 2 species
CCUACGGGAGGCAGCAGUGAGGAAUAUUGGACAAUGGGAGAGAUCCUGAUCCAGCCAUGCCGCGUGCAGGAAGACUGCCCUAUGGGUUGUAAACUGCUUUUAUACAGGAAGAAAAAGGUAUACGUGUAUACUGUUGACGGUACUGUAUGAAUAAGGAUCGGCUAACUCCGUGCCAGCAGCCGCGGUAAUACGGAGGAUCCGAGCGUUAUCCGGAAUCAUUGGGUUUAAAGGGUCCGUAGGCGGGAUAAUCAGUCAGUGGUGAAAGUUUGUGGCUCAACCAUAAAAUUGCCAUUGAUACUGUUAUUCUUGAGUUAUUGUGAAGUGGUUAGAAUGAGUAGUGUAGCGGUGAAAUGCAUAGAUAUUACUCAGAAUACCGAUUGCGAAGGCAGAUCACUAAUGAUAUACUGACGCUGAUGGACGAAAGCGUAGGUAGCGAACAGGAUUAGAUACCCUGGUAGUCUACGCCGUAAACGAUGGUUACUAGCUGUUCGUUUCAAUUGAGAGAUGAGUGGCUAAGCGAAAG